AAGGAACAUUUCACCACUACAUCGUGGUGUUGUGAAUUUUUAUUCUGGUAUCAUGCAAUGUAUAUCUCACUAGUAAGCCUAAGUGUGACCGGGUCAUGUUCGGGUCAGGUUCGUGUGGGAUUGUUUGGGGCUCGGUCCAGGAAUGUAGGCUCAUUGGCACCAGGCACAUCUGGUUUCCAUUAACAA